GACGAACGCUGGCGGCGUGCUUAACACAUGCAAGUGGAGCGACGAACCAGGGCUUGCCCUGGGGCAGAGCCGCGAACGGGUGAGUAACACGUGGGUAACGUGCCCCGAUGACUGGGACAACCCGGGGAAACCCGGGCUAAUACCGGAUGUGCCCCCUCACAUCAGUGAGGUGUGUAAAGGAAGCUUCGGCCUCCGCAUCGGGAUCGGCCCGCGGCCCAUUGGCUUGUUGGUGAGGUAACGGCUCACCAAGGCUGCGAUGGGUAGCUGGUCUGAGAGGACGAUCAGCCACACUGGGACUGAGACACGGCCCAGACUCCUACGGGAGGCAGCAGUGGGGAAUCUUGCGCAAUGCGCGAAAGCGUGACGCAGCAACGCCGCGUGGGGGAAGACGGCCUUCGGGUUGUAAACCCCUUUCAGUUGGGACGAAGGUCGGGCGGUUAACAGCCGUUCCGGCUGACGGUACCUUCACAAGAAGCCCCGGCUAACUACGUG
rnacentral:rRNA from 1 species